rnacentral:piRNA from 1 species
UGGACCCAGAAGGCACUUGUCAGUCA